UCUGUGGCCUCAAGAGGCUUAUGUUUACCCCAAUCAUAUCUGUUUCUCCUGUUCAUUAAGCAAUUAGAUCCUACCUGUCAAAAUCCAUAGUGAUUCCUUCGUUUGUGUAUUUGAAUUUGAACUGGUAUAUCUCAGUCACUUUCUAGAAACAGCAAAGGGAAGAGAGAAAUAAAUUACUUUAAGAAAGAAAUCCUUUGGUAGUUACAAAAUAAUUGAAGGAAUGAGAUUUACAAUCUAGGAAAAG